AUGAUGAGCCCAGGAAUGUCUCCAGCUCCCUGUUCUUCUCUCCACAGGAGCAGCAGAAGAUGCUGGGAAAUUACAGCACAAGUUUAUUCCUUCCCUCUUUUUUCUCUUUUUGUUUUCCCCAAGCUUAAGGAAAACUCCCAACAAAGAAAACUUCCUUUUUCCCCUUCUCACAUCAACACGAUUUGCCGGGUAAUGACAGAUGGAGGGCCAAGAUGUGCCAAAUGCCAGCCUGGAAAGCACCGUUCCCACUGCUGCAUUUGCUGCUGGAGCUGUGUUCCCAUCCUGCUGACGAGUGGGAGUCUGGCCAUUCCCAAAUCUUCGGUCUCCCAGCGCUGUUCUCAGAGGGAUCUGACUCCACAGCUCCCGGGAGUGUGAAUGAGCAGGGCAGCUCCGAGGUUUCGCCCAGCUGCAGUGACACCAAAAUCAUGGACGAGGAAUCC
rnacentral:lncRNA from 13 species